UCAGCGGCGGACGGGUGAGUAAUGCCUAGGAAUCUGCCUGGUAGUGGGGGACAACGUUUCGAAAGGAACGCUAAUACCGCAUACGUCCUACGGGAGAAAGCAGGGGACCUUCGGGCCUUGCGCUAUCAGAUGAGCCUAGGUCGGAUUAGCUAGUUGGUGAGGUAAUGGCUCACCAAGGCGACGAUCCGUAACUGGUCUGAGAGGAUGAUCAGUCACACUGGAACUGAGACACGGUCCAGACUCCUACGGGAGGCAGCAGUGGGGAAUAUUGGACAAUGGGCGAAAGCCUGAUCCAGCCAUGCCGCGUGUGUGAAGAAGGUCUUCGGAUUGUAAAGCACUUUAAGUUGGGAGGAAGGGCAGUAAGUUAAUACCUUGCUGUUUUGACGUUACCGACAGAAUAAGCACCGGCUAACUUCGUGCCAGCAGCCGCGGUAAUACGAAGGGUGCAAGCGUUAAUCGGAAUUACUGGGCGUAAAGCGCGCGUAGGUGGUUUGUUAAGUUGGAUGUGAAAGCCCCGGGCUCAACCUGGGGAACUGCAUC
rnacentral:rRNA from 1 species